UGGACUGGCUCGUUCCAAGGAGCCUCGGGGCUCUCUCUGCAGCACUGCACCACGCUGAGCAGGCACACCUCCAGCAGGGAAAGGUUGUACAGCUGUAAGCUGCCAUUGCUAAUCUUGUUGAGGGGCUGUCAGAGCCUGCAUCCUGCCUCCUGCUCAGGCUGUGACCCUGGAGUGCAUGAGGCUGCUUCCUCCUUUCAUCUCGCUGCUCGGAUUUCUGCAGAAAGGAAAACCAAGCAAAGCCCUGGAAGAUCCCAGAUCAACAAUGAAAAUCCUGGAUGAGGAUACCUAAACUGCCAGUCAGAACUGAGGCAGCUAUGGAAGUGGAUUGAAGGACUUUGAUUUCUUGUUUCCAGCCCAUGGAGAAUGCAUGAAACAAGCGAAGUACUAAACAUCAGAUGCAUCCUAAAGGGAGUGAUUAUUCAGACAGCCUAUGUAUGCCCAUAAGUGGUAUCAAAUUGUGAAGAGAGGAAAAAAUAACCUUCCUUAUGGACACACACACCUUCAGAACAUGAUAUGAUAGUAAGAGCAAAGCAAUGCCUCGUGGCAAUGGCAACUCAGUCAGAGAGCUGGACCCUGUACAAAUGUCCAGCUGGAUGGAUAAACCCUGAAAGAACAGUCUGCCAGAAAAACAACAGUCAAAACAGGCCUGACCUGGUAAAUGGAGGUUACUCUGAAAACUGUACUUAAUAACUGCUACUGUUAUUCACCAUACUCUAUACUGAACAAGCGAGACACGUUGGAAACAUCACCAGAGUCAAGAGUCAAUUCCAGAAGUAUUUGAGACCCUUGGCCUGAGUCUGCCACUGCAUUUUAUGGAAAAGAAUGGUGAGUAUG
rnacentral:lncRNA from 1 species